UACGGAGGGUGCAAGCGUUAUCCGGAUUUACUGGGUUUAAAGGGUGCGUAGGCGGAUAGGUAAGUCAGUGGUGAAAUCUCCGAGCUUAACUCGGAAACUGCCGUUGAUACUAUUUAUCUUGAAUAUUGUGGAGGUAAGCGGAAUAUGUCAUGUAGCGGUGAAAUGCUUAGAUAUGUCAUAGAACACCGAUAGCGAAGGCAGCUCACUAGGCCUGGAUUGACGCUCAGGGACGAAAGCGUGGGGAGCAAACAGG
rnacentral:rRNA from 1 species